rnacentral:rRNA from 1 species
CCUACGGGAGGCAGCAGUGAGGAAUAUUGGUCAAUGGGCGGGAGCCUGAACCAGCCAAGUCGCGUGAGGGAAGACGGUCCUAUGGAUUGUAAACCUCUUUAGGCGGGGAGCAAUGCCGGGCACGCGUGCCCGGAGGGAGAGUACCCGCAGAAUAAGCAUCGGCUAACUCCGUGCCAGCAGCCGCGGUAAUACGGAGGAUGCGAGCGUUAUCCGGAUGUAUUGGGUUUAAAGGGUGCGUAGGCGGAUUUUUAAGUCAGCGGUAAAAUGUCCGGGCUCAACCCGGGCCGGCCGUUGAAACUGGGGAUCUUGAGUGGGCGAGAAGUAUGCGGAAGGCGUGGUGUAGCGGUGAAAUGCAUAGAUAUCACGCAGAACUCCGAUUGCGAAGGCAGCAUACCGGCGCCCGACUGACGCUGAGGCACGAAAGCGUGGGGAUCGAACAGGAUUAGAUACCCCAGUAGUC